AAAAGACGGAAAGAGCUUGCUCUUUUUCAGAAUUGAGUGGCAAACGGGUGAGUAACACGUAAACAACCUGCCUUCAGGAUGGGGACAACAGACGGAAACGACUGCUAAUACCGAAUAAGUUCCAAGGGCCGCAUGGCCCAUGGAAGAAAAGGUGGCCUCUACCUGUAAGCUAUCGCCCGAAGAGGGGUUUGCGUCUGAUUAGCUGGUUGGAGGGGUAACGGCCCACCAAGGCGACGAUGGAUAGGGGUUCUGAGAGGAAGGUCCCCCACAUUGGAACUGAGACACGGUCCAAACUCC
rnacentral:rRNA from 1 species